GUGGGGUUGUGGGUCAGUGGUACAAUGCUUGCCUACCAUGCAUGAGGCACUGGAUUCGAUCCUCAGCACCACA
rnacentral:tRNA from 1 species